GCAUUAUCUACAAACAGCCAUCCAGGCGAAAACCCGGCUAAAACACACCGUAAACAGGCCUUAAUAUGUAGCGGAAAAAACACCCAAUCUGGCAACGCCAGCUACCUGUUUCGCACCGCCGCAUGCGUCAUCUAAACAAAAAGCAGCAUGGAGGCGACAGCAGCAUGGAGGCGACGAAGCAGCAAGGAGGCGUCGUAUGAUCAUUUAAACAAGUUUUAUGACAAGGUCAUUGAGGAUGGGAAAAAUCUUAAAUUUCUGUGCAAACUUUGCCCACCGUCUUUCAAAAAGAAAAUCCGCACUUCAGUCACAUCCACAGCAACCCUGAAACGGCACAUUGAACUGAAGCAACAUAUGG